GUCACACUUAUAUUUCAUUUUGGAUGGGUCUUAUUCACUCACUAAGUGCUUUCCUUAAUAGGUCAUCUGGCAUAUCGUAGAAUCCAGUUGCUAGAUGUCUGGUACAAACCCAAUACACAGAGGGAGACAACAUUUGGUUAGGAAAAGUUUUAUGACCGCAAAUACACUGGGAAACUGUAAAUGGAAAUGGAACUCUAACUCAAAAACAAUUGGUGUAAAUCUAAUUUGCCAAUAAUUUAUUAUACUUUCUACUAUGGCUUGCAACUGACAAACAAAUCUCACAGUUUAAUGAAGAUAAUCAUUCAUUCAUAAUAAAGGAUAUUUUUGUGAUCAUGUAUGGUGUAAGUGGUUUAAUGCGGACACUUUAACAACUGUCAAU